rnacentral:pre_miRNA from 1 species
AGUUAAAGUUUUCAUCUAUAUUUACGAUUAAAAACUAAUGUGGCUGACAGAAUAACCAGACAACUACAUCUGGCAUAUCAUAUGUACCCUAUGUUGAUAUAUAAAGAUCAAAUUUUAAUAAUAAAAAUAGAUAAAAAUUUUAAUA